CCUACUUUCUUCCGCCGUGCGGAAUAUUGGUCAAUGGCCGGAAGGCUUAACCAGCCAUGCCGCGUGAAGGUCAGUGCCCUAUGGGCGUUAAACUUCUUUUGUGCGGGAGCAAUAAUGGUCACGUGUGGCCAGACGAGAGUACCGUACGAAUAAGCAUCGGCUAACUCCGUUCCAGCAGCCGCGGUAAUACGGGGGAUGCAAGCGUUAUCCGGAUUUUUUGGGUUUAAAGGGUGCGUAGGCUGGGAGGUAAGUCAGCGGUGAAAUGCCCCCGCUCAACGGGGUGAAGUGCCAUUGAUACUGCCUUGCUGGAAUGCGGAUGCCGUGGGAGGAAUGUGUGGUGUAGCGGUGAAAUGCAUAGAUAUCACACAGAACACCGAUUGCGAAGGCAUCUCACGAAUCCGCGAUUGACGCUGAUGCACGAAAGCGUGGGUAUCAAACAGGAUUAGAUACCCCGGUAGUC
rnacentral:rRNA from 1 species